UACGUAUGGUGCAAGCGUUAUCCGGAUUUACUGGGUGUAAAGGGAGCGUAGACGGCUGUGCAAGUCUGAAGUGAAAGGCCGGGGCCCAACCCCGGGAGUGCUUUGGAAACUGUGCGGCUAGAGUGUCGGAGAGGCAAGUGGAAUUCCCAGUGUAGCGGUGAAAUGCGUAGAUAUUGGGAGGAACACCAGUGGCGAAGGCGUCUUGCUGGACGAUGACUGACGUUGAGGCUCGAAAGUGUGGGGAGCAAACAGG
rnacentral:rRNA from 1 species